rnacentral:rRNA from 1 species
UACGUAGGCAGCGAGCGUUGUUCGGAGUUACUGGGCGUAAAGGGUGUGUAGGCGGUUGUUUAAGUUUGGUGUGAAAUCUCCCGGCUCAACUGGGAGGGUGCGCCGAAUACUGAAUGACUUCGAGUGCGGGAGAGGAGAGUGGAAUUCCUGGUGUAGCGGUGAAAUGCGUAGAUAUCAGGAGGAACACCGGUGGUGUAGACGGCUCUCUGGACCGUAACUGACGCUGAGGAGCGAAAGCGUGGGGAGCGAACAGG